rnacentral:rRNA from 1 species
AGAGUUUGAUCAUGGCUCAGGACGAACGCUGGCGGCGUGCUUAACACAUGCAAGUCGAACGAGGUGCUUGCACCUAGUGGCGAACGGGUGAGUAACACGUGGGCAACCUGCCCCUGGCUCUGGGAUAGCCUCCGGAAACGGGGAUUAAUACCGGACAUGACCUGCGGUCGCAUGACCGCGGGUGGAAAGUUUUUCGGCCAGGGAGGGGCUCGCGGCCUAUCAGCUUGUUGGAGGGGUAACGGCCCACCAAGGCGACGACGGGUAGCCGGCCUGAGAGGGCGACCGGCCACACUGGGACUGAGACACGGCCCAGACUCCUGCGGGAGGCAGCAGUGGGGAAUAUUGCACAAUGGGGGGAACCCUGAUGCAGCGACGCCGCGUGCGGGAUGAAGGCCUUCGGGUUGUAAACCGCUUUCAGCAGGGGCGAACACAGACGGUACCUGCAGAAGAAGCGCCGGCUAACUACCGUGGCCAGCAGCCGCGGUA